UACAGAGGGGGCCAGCGUUAUUCGGAAUUAUUGGGCGUAAAGGGCGCGUAGGCGGCUUUGCGUGUCUUUCGUGAAAUCCCUCGGCUCAACUGAGGACGUGCGGAAGAAACUGCAGGGCUGGAGUCCGGGAGAGGAGGGGGGAAUUCCCAGUGUAGCGGUGAAAUGCGUAGAUAUUGGGAGGAACACCGGUGGCGAAGGCGGCCCUCUGGACCGGUACUGACGCUGAUGCGCGAAAGCGUGGGGAGCAAACGGG
rnacentral:rRNA from 1 species